GGGUGCAUAGCUUAGAUGGUAGAGCAUCGGGCUUUUAACCUGGGGGUCUUGGGUUCGAAUCCCAAUGCACCCA
rnacentral:tRNA from 1 species